rnacentral:rRNA from 1 species
UACGAAGGGGGCUAGCGUUGUUCGGAAUUACUGGGCGUAAAGCGCACGUAGGCGGACUAUUAAGUCAGGGGUGAAAUCCCGGGGCUCAACCCCGGAACUGCCUUUGAUACUGGUAGUCUCGAGUCCGGAAGAGGUGAGUGGAAUUCCGAGUGUAGAGGUGAAAUUCGUAGAUAUUCGGAGGAACACCAGUGGCGAAGGCGGCUCACUGGUCCGGUACUGACGCUGAGGCGCGAAAGCCAGGGGAGCGAACGGG